rnacentral:rRNA from 1 species
GACGUAGGGCGCGAGCGUUGUCCGGAUUUAUUGGGCGUAAAGAGCUCGUAGGCGGCUUGUCGCGUCGACUGUGAAAACCCGCGGCUCAACCGUGUGGUCUGCAGUCGAUACGGGCAGGCUAGAGUUCGGUAGGGGAGACUGGAAUUCCUGGUGUUGCGGUGAAAUGCGCAGAUAUCAGGAGGAACACCGGUGGCGAAGGCGGGUCUCUGGGCCGAUACUGACGCUGAGGAGCGAAAGCGUGGGGAGCGAACAGG